UUUAAUGAUUAUUUUAAUAGACCAGGUUAAGUACCUGGAAGUGAAAAGAUGUAUGCCAAAUAAUUUCCUUAGCAUGUUAUAUAGAAGGUGAAUAUCAUUUUAUUUCCACCUUAAUAUAACUCCCACAGAAGUAUGUUUCUCACACAUCUUGAGUUGCUGAAGAGGUGUAAGUCACACACUAAAUCAUCUGGCCAUUAUUUCUCAGACUAGGGGAGAAAACAGCCCAUUGGAAAGGUGCCGAAAGUGUUUCAGACAUUAGAUAAAGCUUUGUCACAGAACUUGCAACCUUCAAUCCACACUUCACCCUGUCCAUUGUGAUUUUAAUCAUAAAUACAGUCUCACUACCCUGUUUCCUGCCUAAAACUUUGCAGAGUCUCACCACCACUGUAAUAACAGAGGUUUAGAAAUCAAAUGCUGGCAGAGGCCAGACACACAACCUGCGUGAGGAAAAUCUAGCCAGUAUAUCAAAGAGCUGCCGUACAAACCUGAUUGUUGCUUAAAGGAAUAUGCCAUAAUAUUGUAAAACCUUCUAAUCUUUUUUCCAAGAAAAGUUAGAGAUCUUGAUUUCAUGAGACAUCCUUUCAGCUUUUAAAUGUUAGCAAGCAAUUCAAAUUGAAAACAAGGGCCAGGGAUUUAGCUCAGUGGCUCCACCACCUGCCUCACAUGCGCAAGGACCCAAGUUCGAUCCCCGGUACCAAAAAAAAACCCCAAAAAACAAAUUGAAAACAAAAUAGCUUUGUGAGCCAAGUGAACCAUAAUGUGGAUCUGUAGCACAUAUUUAGGUCCUGGCAACCAGUUGGUGAUCAUUAAUUUUAUAGCAACUGUUCUCAAACUUUUUAGUCUCGGGAUCAUUUUACAUUUUCAAAAAUCAUUAAGGACACUAAAGAGCUUUGUUUUUUGUAUAUUACAUUUAUUGAUAUUUGCCAUAUUUUCUGAGAAUUUUUAAAGAUUUCAUUUAAAAAUAACCUAUUAUAUGUUAAUAAAAGUAAUAUUUGUACAAAAAUUAUAUUUUCCAAAUAAAAAAUAUAGUGACCUUGUUUUAUAUUUUUACAAAUCUCUUUAAUAUUCUCACUUAAGGCAGUUGAAUUCUCACAUCUACUUCUCCAUUCUGUCUAUUGAAAUAUGUUGCCUUGGUGGAAGUUUAUGAAGAAAAUUCAGCCUCAUAAGGCAUUGAUCGUUUGGAAGAUACUGGUUUACUCCAUUAUGAAGAUUUUCCAAAUGUCAGUUUUCAAAAAAUACAUUUCAAGUUCCACGCAGUGAUGCACACUUCUAUUCUCAGCUGUUUAACAAGAGGAUCACAGGUUCAUGACCAACCUGGGCAACUUACUGAGAACCUGUCUCAAAAUUUAAAAAUAAGAAGGGCUAGGGUUAUAACUUAGCACUUUCUAGGCCCAGUCUCCAGUACCACCAAAGUUGCUUCCUUUGAAGCGACAGCCUGAUUUUGUUCAUUUCUGAGAAAAUACCCACAGAAUGCUGAAAUCUGAAUAACCUUAGUUUGUUAAUCAUUCUUUCAAGUAAAAAUAGUAUUACAUUAAAAAAAAAAAAAACUGGGUACAUAGCUCACAGCUCAAGAGUAUUUUUCUUGAGAAAACCAUUCUCCUUUGGCAUGCUUUAUGUCUACUUCACAUUUUGUCAUGUAGAAUGUUAAAAGUACAUCUACUUAGGAGUUGAGAUUUAGCUGGGUGUGGUGGCACAUGCCUGUAAUCCCUGCACCACACCGGGGAGGCUGAGGUGGGAGGAUUGCCACAAGUUCAAGGCCACACAUAGUGAAUUCAAGGCCAGCCUGAACUGCAUAGGAAGACCCUGUCUCAAAAACCCAAAACCAAACAAAGAGUUGAGAUUUAAUAACAAUUUUUACUGCCUUAUCAACAACAUUCUUAUAUAAAAGUAUUGGCUUUUUAAAGCUGCACUUUAAAACUUAGUACCUGCAGGGAUUGGUUUUGGAUAUCCUCUGAUAGCAAGACCUGUGGAUCCUCAAGUACUUUAUAUAAAAUGGCAAAGUAUUUGCAUAUAAUCUAAGCACAUCUUCCUAUGUACUUUAACUCAUCUCUAGGUUACUUAUAAAACCCAGAACAGUGAAAUGCUGUAUAAAUAGUUGUUACGUCUACAGUACUGUUUAGGGAAUAAUGAUGAGAAAAAUAUUCUGUACAUAUUCAGUGCAGAAGCAGUUUUGUUAGUAUUUUUUAUCCAUGUCUGUGGAUAUGGUACCUGUGGAUGUGGAAUUUAAACAAUUGGCAAUAAAUACAAUGACUAUUAAUAUAA